AUCCUAUACUCUCCUAACCUCUUACCAACGAAAUUAUCUUUCCCAUAAGCUUCUAAUCAAAGCCCAGCCAUCACAAACAACAAAUCAGAAGCAUCAAAGCCAAAAAAAUCAAAAAUCGAAGCUAGAAAAGGUAUGAAAUUCCCUAAUUUUGAAAUCCUUCGAUUCGAUGUUAAUUGAUGCAAUUGAUUAUUUAAAGUAGUGUAAUAGGGAGUCUAUUAAUGUUCUGGGUUGUAAAGUCAUGAACCCAUAACAUCAAAGUGCACGAAUUUGAAGAUUUGAGCAAGUUGGAAAAACCGAAUUCUGUGAUUUUUGGGAAAAUGUCAAGACUUAUAUCUCUGUGAUUAUUUACUUUUUUUGUUGUUUAAAGGUUGUUAGGUGUAUCUUGUUAUGUGGUCUUUAAACUCCAAAAGGAAUCAGGUCUAUAUCUAUUGUAGAUCGGGAUUUAUAAGCGGUCAAAGUGGGUUGACCGGCAUUGACCGGCUGUUUUUCAAACCCAGAAAAUAUUCUAAGUGUCCAGAAAUAUUUUUUUGGCAAAUGUCAGGCCUUAUAUCUCGGUCAUCUUUAAUGUGUUUUGUGUUCUAAAGGUUGAUAUGUGUAGCUUGUUAUGUGGUAUUUAACCUCCAAAAAGAAUCAGGUCCAUAUAUAUUACGGAUUAAGAGUUAUUUAAGGUCAAAGUGGGUUGACCGGCAUUGACCAGAAAAUUCUGGGCAGCCCAGAAUUUUCUAAGUGUUAAUUUUUCUGACAAGGUUUGACCAUACUUUAGAUGCUUGAUUUCUUGUU
rnacentral:lncRNA from 1 species